CGUUUACGUAGAAUAGACAGAUGUGUUCACGGCCACGAUGGGCGAUGAUUCUUUGAUAUUACGAGAAGAUGGUUAUAUACGCAUGAACUUUCCUGUUACUUCUCUAACGUACCACAGUAACUUGAAUAUAAUUUUGGUGAAGACUGACGUAGGUGGUGUACACGUUUUGGAUGUGAAUUCUGGUGUGAUUCUUCAGUCCUCUUGUCUAUCAGCGGAUGAUGGGGGUACACUCGGCGUGGAGUACGCGGCGGGCGCGGACCGGGUGUUCGUGUGGGACAGCAGCGGCGUGGGGGCGCGCACCGACUACAACGGAGUGCUGCUGCUGCACACGGCGUUACAGCGGCCCCUGCCCUCCUCACAACCCGACAAAAUCAUAAGGAUCGAGCUCGUGCUCUCUGAAGCUGUCCUCCUAUACCAAUGUCUUCAAAGCCUGGACGUGUUGUCCAUCGAGGGCCUCAGUGACUUCAUCAACGAGCUCAAGAAUUCCAUUGACGUGGAGCCCGUGCGGAAAGGCGUCAAGGCACAGAAAUGGAGCACAGUGACAAUCUGUCUACCACAGUCAACGGUGCGUCUGGUGACGACAGGCGUGGUCCAGGAGUUGAAGAGUCAGAACCGGCGAAUCCCCGCGUUGGCUAUCGCGUCUGCCGUGGGCCAGCGGGCCAACGAGCUGGUGCCAUGCUCACGGGAUGAGGAGUCGCGGCCAGUCAUGUACUCAGAGGCCGAGCGCAAGGAGACCUUCAAGCGGUGGCCGCAUAUGGAUUACAAAUGGGCGCUCCCCGCGCGGAUGGCACAGGCGGGGUUCUACCACCAACCGUCGCCGUCAGGGGACGACCGGGCCAUGUGUUUCACCUGCAUGGUGUGUCUCGUCUGCUGGGAGAAGUCGGACGAGCCCUGGGUCGAGCAUGAACGCCACUCGCCCAACUGUCCCUUCGUGCGAGGAGAGUACACCCACAAUGUACCUAUAUCUGUCACAAACGCAACCGCCUGCGCAGUUCCAAACCUGAACGUGGCGGUGGUAUCGAAAGGCAACACUGGGGACCUGAUAGCGACAGGCACUGUGGACGGCAAGGUCAACGUGUGGAAAUUCGACUGCGGUCUCAAGCUCGUCAAGUUCAUCCACCUCUCGCCAUACGAUUCUAUCUUCAGCGGGAUCCUCGCGACAGACAGUAAUAAAGUCUGGUCUGCCAGUCUUGAGAAGGAUAGUUCAACAUACGGCGUGGAGCUGACAGCGAUGGCGUUCGUGGGCAUGACGUCACGGCAGGAGCCGUACCCGCAGCAGGGCGGGGACCCCGCCGACAAGGAUAACGGCAGCAACAAGAGCAAGCCUGCGCUCGUGUGCGCCGUCACCAUCACGCGCACCGCGCCCCACACCGACCAGCCCAUCAAGGAAGACUCCAGCAAGGCCCUCUUCGAAUCCGACAAGUCCAAGGAAACCGUACAAGCCAUGAACGACCAGAACGAAGCCAAAAGCAACCUCGCUCCCACCAACAAAAUGCUAUUCCUCCUCACGUACGACAUACAUAGCUCGCUGGCCGGCUCCAUCACCACCGUGGUCCACACAUCCAACAGCAGCGGCAACUCCAAGCCCGGCGGCAGUAAGAAGGUGCACACCGUCGCCCGCACCGACGACGCCAACAUUUACGACGAAAUAUACUUUCAAUACUCUGACGAAGACACCGAGCUUCCCCAGUGCACGAGCAGUCUCAUAGACGAACAAAUCAGCAAUGUUAUCAACCUCAACGCGUCCUCCAGUAAAGAAGACUGCAAAACUUGGGAACCGAAGAAGAUUAUAUUUACGAAACAGUUUAAAGUAUUACCGCCGCCUCCAUCCACGGCCCUGUUACCGGAUCUGCCCGAGUCCGGGCAGGGCAGCAUGCUGGACUUCGUCGGGCAGAUCUCACAACUCAAGAGCUGGAAGAGCGGAAACCUCGAGUCGGUCGGCACCAAGCUCGCGGACCAGACGGACGCCGUGCUGCAGCAGGCCGACCCUAUCACGCACUACCUCAACAUGAACGGACCUCUGGAGAUUUCAGAUCUGAAGUGGUACGAAGGCGGCGACGGCACGGAGAAAGUGAAGGUGACGACGUUCGGCGGCAGCAAAGUGGGAACUACAACAGCUGUGAGUAACAGCAACAACGACGGUUUCGACAGUGACCCGCCGCAGGAAGAAGUGAUCUCACAAGGUAUAGCGAUACAGUGUCUUAGUCUUCCAGCCAAGCUCAACCUCAGGGAGGAUUCCCGCGUUACACAUCUACUGCCAACGGAAGACAAGGAACACUUACUCGUAGUGAUAUCUAGUAUCGAACCAGAUAAAAUCAAAAUCGAGGAGGAAACGGACGGCGACGGUGAUAUUAAGAUGGAUGUGGACGAGGUGGCAGAAGCGACUGAAAAACCUGACAAGUCUGACACGAGAGCUUACUUGCUUCUCUUCAAAAUAAAUAACAAAACUUCCAUAUUCACGUUAGAAGACAAUCCCGUCUCGAUGAAAGAGUUACCAUUCAACGAGAGUCCCGUAGACUUGUGCUUAUUACCGAUGGACAAACAAGAACAGUAUUCUUUCGCAUCUGUCGGUGUCGACGGCAGUUUACGACUGUAUUCCUUGCCAGACUUCAAAAUGUUGUCAGAAAAGCGAGUGCCUAAAGGACAGUUCACUUCGGUCGUCUAUUGCGCGUCUGUCGAACGACUCAGCGUCUCGACCAAACACGGUAUGAUCUACUUCUACGCUUUGAACAACGGCGAGAAGGAUUCUUCGGGUGAUAUAGACGAGGACGAAUUUGCGAAUAUAGAUUUCGAUAUGCUUCAGCGAGCGCCUCGGGAGGAGAUCGGCAGUCCCUCCGCAGCGCCGGUGAUCGUGGCCAACAAGACUGAAUUAGACACGUCCGAUUUAGAGACUUUGAUUACUUUGACAGGGUCUUACGGAACCAACACGACAGUUCCUUACAGCGCAGUGGUGCCGGGCUUCUGGUGCGAGCUGUCGCCCGCUCAGCGCUCGCGCUCCGACCACCAGAACAACCGGACGUGGAGGCUGCAGAACACGUCCUCCACCUGGGACGAGCACGUGCUAGAGCUCACGCUACCGUAUAGCGUAUCAUUAGCUCAUAUAGAGUUCGGCUUCACUCUGCACACUGCGUGUACGGCGAAUCUGCCAAUAAUACAAGUGACGUUGCUCAAGCAAAAUCUCCACGGAAUUGGCUAUAAAAAGGAUGCGUCGUUCGGACAUCGAUCCGAUUCUCCGACGCACUUCCCGGUGAUCGAUCCGGAUAUGUCGAACUUGGAGAAUCCUGUGAACAGCGAGGAGUACUUACAGGCGCACAACGCCGAGAUUCUGGCUGGCCCAUUGCUGUUGUCCUCCGGGCUGGACUUGACGCAGCAGUCCGGCUCGCUCAUCCUCACCAGCCCGCGCCUAUACCGCGCUAGGGGGAGAACUUUCCUCAUACAUAUAAAAACACUAUUUGAUCCAGCGAAGGACAUGUCUAAGGGAUCUGUGAAGGGAGAGAGCAGUUCCAAGAAAUCUGGCUUCAUUGGGUGCGACUGGCUGCAUCAGAUUUCGUUGACGGUGCGAGCGUGCCCGCACACAGAGGUGCCGAUGGAGCGUCAACAAAGGAUAGCUAUGCUGGAAUCUAACGGGUUCUUGAACAACUUAUGCGAGAUUUCGAUAGGCAAGGGUGAUUCGGAGAAGCGGAAGCUCGCUUUGGAUUUGCUUUUGUGGGUGAUAUCGAUAAGACUGCAGAGGAUGCGACUGGCCAAGUCUGAAAAGGGCAAGGACAAGGAUGCUAUGAACCCUCUGGAGACGCAGCAGCUGGAGUGUGUGAAGAUUGUAGAGAAACACGUGGACGCGCUCAUCAAGAACUGCAUACUCUGUGCCAACAGGAGCAUCGCGAAGAAGUGCAUCAAGAUCAUUCUGACAACCAGCGAGGGCGUUCGGCAGCUUCCAAAGCCUUGGAAGUCUACUUUCGAGCAGACGUUGAUAAACAGCGUGGUGGCGUGCAUCCCGUACCUGGGCGGCUGCUCGUCCCCGGGAGCGCUGCGCUGGCUGGUGGCACUCGCCCAGCACGCCACGGGCCGCGGCGCCGCACCAGACCUGGUGGCGCGCUGCCAGGCGCUGCUCGAGAGCACGGCCAAAUGUCUGCGGGAACGCGCCGACGUUUAUCACCACCUGUUGAAGGCCAGGUUCGGCUUGUAUGGCCUGCCUCUAGAGCGUCAAAUCUUCGCAUCGGAAGUGCCAGAGCUGGGCCGCGGCACUUCAACCCCGGUGACAUACGCCAGCGUGCUCACCGGAGACACGAGCACCCCGCCAGCCGCCAAGCCCGACUACCAGCUCAAGGAUUUGCUCAAUCUGCCGCCUGAUAUCGACCCGAAAAACAAGACAAACUCGACGGCUUGGUGGGCGCAGAACAACGGGGUUGCCAUAUUCGGCGCGGGGCUGAGCGAGGCCAUGCCUCUCCACGUGACUUGCCACGUGGCCUCUGAUGGGACCAAGUUGGAGUCCACCGGCGCCAGACACCACCCCGCUGUUGUCAGCACCCUGCCUGGAGAUCCGCAGCAGUUGUGGUCAGUCGUGAAGGAAGGGCAGACGAAGCAGUCCUCACAGGACCCGGACUCUUUAGAAGACGUGGAGAGCUCCCUCAUGGAAUGUGAUCCUCAGGACAAACAUGACUUCAACGAGGACAAGUUCUUUAAGGAACAAGAGCAGUGCGGUAUUCCGUGGGCGGCGCUAGUGACGCGGCCACCGCAACACACCUUGGUGGUGGAGCGCAUGCACUCAGGAGCACGGCGGUACAUCGUGCUCGAUUUCGGGCACACCGUGCGACUUACUGACUUGAUAAUUCCGUCGUGCUCGGACCUGGUGACGCUAUGCAUCGACAUCUGGACGCACGGCGAGGAGUCGGACUGCACCAAGCUGGCGUUCGCCACCGAUAUUGCCACCAAGCACCUCGUGCUCACGGACAUACAGCCGCCGCCGCUCUGCCGGUAUAUGAAGAUAACAACGAUAGGCCGAUACGGCAUGUCGGCGAUGAAGUGUAAGAUACCCCUCGGAUGGUUCUACGGCGAAAUCGCGGAGAUCGCGAAUGUCCCUGCCUCCAUCAACGCGCUGAACGCGCUGCACCAGGACUUGACUUGUAGAUUCAGACUUGCAACGGGUAAACUGAUGGAUCUCCUGAAUCCUUACCUGGAACUAUACAACGGCAACGCCUCUCACAUGAUGGCGUACCUCAACCUGGCCAAUGACAUCGACCCUAAGGUCGUCACGGCUUACCAGGAGUGCAUAGAACUACAGCAACAACUGCAUACUUGCACUAACGUACUGAAGAAGCUUCAAGGCGGUUCGGAGUGCAACGAACAGGUGUUGGAAGCCAUCAAGAGAGGUACAGUGACGUCGGAAGCGCUGCUAGAACGAGCGUCGACGGAUAAGCUACGAGUGAUCAGUGAGAAUAUCAUCGAUAUGCUCCUGUACUUCUACUUCCAGAUGGCUGAUGUGCAAUACGGGGAGGUAUCCUUGGAGUGGUGCAGCACAGUGUCCCCCCUCGUAUGGGAGUGGGGCGGCGGCGUGGCGGCGGCGCUAGCCACGCUGCUGGCCCGCGCGUGUGGCCAGCACAGCUGGUGGGGGCCGCACCUGGCGGACACGCUCACGCAGGCCUUCGCCUCGGUCGAUGCGCCGCCUAGCGCGCUUGACAGGACCCUAGUACUAGUGAUGUACAUGUGCCGUAAGAGCUUGUACUCGCACACGGACCCUGAGGCUGGCGUGACACAGGCACUGAGCGCACGCGCCCUGUCGUUACUGCGAUCACCGCGGCCCCAGCCGGCGCUGCUGGCCGCUGUGCUGACAGCCCUGGCUUCCGUGCUCGACAGUGUAGUUGCUACUGGCAGUAGACACAGCAGGUGGGAGUGGGUGACGGGCGGGCGCGCGGGCGCGGGCGCGGGCGCGGACGCGGCGGGCGCGGCGCCGCGCGCCAACGACUGCAAGCUGCACCGCCGCAAGCUGCACAAGAAGCUGCUGCAUCAGAUGCAGGAGCUGGAGGCCGCGCGCAGGGGCAUACAGGUCGCGCUGGAGGAGCAACAGGCUCAUUACCUGUCACUUCAGCGCGCGCGGUUCAGCCUGAAAGCGCGAAUGGCGAUGGUUGGCAAGAGCGGCGGCAAGGCGGAAGACGAGACGGGGGCGGAGCCCGGCCGGGGGGCCAGGGUGCUGCCGCCGGCCGCCGCCGCCGCGCUAGCGCAGGCGCUCGUGCAGCAUCUGCUGGCGCUUGACUCUUGCAGCGGCGGGGACCACCUCACGCUCUGUGCUAAGGUGGUCGGCCGUCUAUGCGCGUUAUGCGGAGGCGCGAGCCUUCUAGAACCUUCCUGCGUGUUGGGACUCGCGCGGCUAUGUGUCACGCUGCCGCCUUGGCCGAGGCAUGCGCUCACUACGUUGCUACAGGACUUAGUAGAAUACGAGAGCGGGGAGUCGUCCCCGCCCUUGUCUGCGGAGGAGCCGCAGGCGGAGGCGAGCGGCGCGGGGCCCGCGGGGGGCGCGGGCGCAGGCGCGGCGCGCGGCAGCCGCGUGCUGCUGGUGUCGCCCGACGAGUACCCGCUGUACUUCGGAAAGGCGCUCCGGUUCAAGUCCGUCACUGUUGCCAUUCCAGAACAAGUGGACGUGCUACCAGGCACCAUCAAGAUGGAGGAGCUGGCGCAGGUGGCGGAGUCCGACGACUCGGAGCCCGAGCUGCAGUACCAGACCGUCAAGCGGGACCCGCCCAACAACAAGCCUGUCGUUACCAAUACAUCCAGCAACAUCUCGACGUGCGUGGACGCGCGGCUGGAGAGCGGCGUGGCGGCGGCGGGCGAGGCGCGCGCGCGGCGCGUGCUGGCGGGCGGCGGCGCGGCGCUGGCGGCCGCCGUGCGCGCGCCGCCCCCGCCCGCGCCCCGCGCGCGCCCGCCGCCGCCGCCCGCGCCGCGCCACCACCCGCCCCUCACGCACACGCUCUACGACGUGUUCCGACAUCUGGCGCUGGAGUUCCAUUGCCAGAUGGAGUGCACGUUUAUGGAGAACGUGGUCUCGCUAUGGCUGACGCUGAACGGGUCGCUGUGGGGCGGCGGCGGCGCGUGGUCGCUGGCCGCGCUGGCGGUGCCGGCCGACACGCCGCGCAUCCGCCUCGCCUCCGACACCGUCAACGCGUUGCUGCAGGCGCUCUGCACAUUAGAAAACAUCUCCCUGCGAUGCUGGGUGCUCUCGAUGCAAGCGUUGGCGUGGAUUGCCAGUUUACCUUUACAGACAGAAGGCAGUACUCAGACGAUGGGCCGCGUGAUCCUGGAGUGCGAACACUUCGUGCCGGCCAUCGUCAAGUUCAUCACCAUGAAUGUCAGCACUGACGGCGCUGUCGCUUCCUCUGAGCCUUAUCUGGGCGGAGUGAGCAUAGGCGCAGGCGCGGGCGCGGCGUCCGCGCUCCACUCAGUAUUAUCCCGUGUGGUGUGCGCGCGGGGCGCGGGCGGGGCGCUCGCCGCGCUGCGCAUGGUCUGCGCGCUGUGGAGGAAGGACGCCGACCCCGGCACAGCUUACGACCUGCAAGCCACCUUGCUGAGGGUGGCACACCCCAUGCUGCAAGUACUCAGCGGCAGGCACACGCAUCACGCCAUCGCCUUGUUUGAAGCUGUCGCUCACCAAUCGUCGGUAUGGGUGGGCGAGAGCAGUGGCUGGCGCGCGGAGGGCGGGGCGGAGGCCCGGCUGUCAGGGCUGCUGGCCGACGUGCUCGCAGGCGGCGGCGGCGGGCGGCGCGCCCCGCUGCGGCGCUCGGUGCUGGCGCAGCUGCUGCACUACUGCCGCAAGCUGCUGGCAGUGCCGCUGCACCACCACCCGCACCAGUCAACCGCGAGUGGAAGCGGUAGCGGUGCUAGCAGCAGCGGGACGAGCAGCGAGCAGUCUCAGACUGAUGAAAGCAAGGCGCAACACUCUGCUCAAGACAACACUAACCUUGACGAUGAGAGGAAGCAGCAGGCUGCCCGGACGCCCUGCGUCGCUGAUACUGUUCUUCAACAUCCGCUCAUCAUGCAGAGAUUCUACAGAACUUUAUCUAUGUGCGACGGCAUGAAUACACUGCUGCUUAACUCAGGCAUGAGUUCGGAAUCUUCAGCGGAGUAUUCGUCGCUGAAGGAGGAGGUGUUCUGGCUGGUCGCGCACAUGGCUUCGGUAGCUUCGAGCCCCGCGCUUAUGGUGCCUAGUCUUUUGGAGUUCCUCAGAAAAGAAGAAAUAGUGAACCUGUCACAAGCAAUGCAGCAGCUAAUCAUCAGGCUGCUGGACAAGCCGGAAGCUCUGAACGCGUUUAUUGAAGCUGGUGGACUCGAGCUGGCCGUUGAGAAACUCACUGCUUGCCAUCAGGCGGGCCCCAGCAGCUCCCAGGGUCUGGUGUCAUCGCUGAUGAACUACCUGAAGCUGCCUCCACAACUAAUCAACCUGUCGACGCCCGCGGCCGGCAAGAACACUCAACCACCUGUCAUUGAGACCGCUAGUGGACUCGUCAACAUUGCGCCGCUAUGCACGGUGUCGUGCGGCAACCCCACGGCGCAGGCGGCGGACGUGCUGCUGGACGGCGGCGGCGGCGGCAUGACGCCCAGCGGCGCCUGCGCCGCGCGCCGCGUGCGGGCCGCCGCAUGGUCCUACCAUUUCUUCAGCGCCGACGACGCGUCGCUAGCACUGACACUGACGCUGCCGUACGCCGUGCAGCUGCAUGAGGUUCAACUGCAGCCGCACCUCACCAGUCUUGCCACAUGCCCAGGCGCAGUGGCAGUAGAAGCCGGCUGCGGCGGCACUCUGGCGCCCCUUGGCCCACCACAGAACACAGCCGGCAUGACAUUCAUCCGGCUCGCGGUGUCCCGCCCCAUCGUGUGUAGCACCGUGCAGAUUCGGCUGUACAAGCCGCGCGACAGCUCCAACAUGGGGCUGCUGCAGCUACGGCUGCUGGCCCAGCCGGCCUUCAACAACCAGCUGAACAAUGCUUCCACCAACAACUGGGCGCGCGUGGUGGCGGCGUGCACCCGCGGGCGCGCGGGCGCGGCGCGCUGGGCGGGCGCGGCGGGCGCGGGCGCGGGCGGCGCGGGCGCCGUGCGCGCGCUGUGCGCCGCCGUGGCCGCCGGCGCCGCCGCCGCGCCGCACGCGCACCACGCGCUGCUGGCCGCCGCGCGCGCCGCGCCUGCGCUGCGCGCGCCGCUGCUCACCACGCUGCUGCACAUGGACGAGCAGGCGCACGCGCACGCAUUCCAAUUAACGAGCAGCGGGCGAGCCAACAGCAGCAUGAACGCAGUGUGCGAGCUGGUGCGAGCCUUGUGCCGCUGGUGCGCCGAAGGCUGCGUGGAGGCGUACCUGGCGUGGCUCACGGCCGCCGCCGAGCUGUGGCUGCGCGAGCGCAAGGCUCCCUCCGCCGCACUCGUGCACACUCUCGCUGCCGUAUUAUGGACAUUGAAAGAGGAACGGAUAUUAGAAAAUCUAGAAGAGUUAAUAACAGACGACCUGUUUGAGCUCGUCUACACUUGGGUGAAGGACGUACCCGAGGCUAGUCUACUGAAGAAAUCACUCGAUGCAGUAUUAUGUUCGAUGUGCUACAUCCGACCUGAGCUCUUCAGAAUGUUGUUAGAACAAAUGGAUAUACCCAUCGCCCACGAUGAGAGCAUGGAGGGCCUAACAGACGACACUAAAGUAGCGGGGUCCCCCCGUGGUGCGUGCAGCAGCGGCGCCGGCGGCACGGCGCCUGACCUGCGCACGCGCUGCGCCGGCUGGCAGCUGCACACUCUGGCGCUGGCCGCCAUGUCGCCCGCCGCCACGGCCGCGCUGCUGGCCAGCCGCCUGCCGCACGCCGUCACCGCCGCCAUACAAGAGUUCAGUGAAGCAAAGUUGGAGCAAAUAAAGGAGCAACAGUUAGGCUCACAAGAAGACAUUCGGAUGCUAGACUCCGAGAAGGAAACUAAUCAAAAUAAGACUGAUUUACCAACAAUGAAGACAAUCUGUCAGCUGGUGGAAUGGACAAGACUUCUAUGCACGGACAGACGGCUGAAGGACUGGCUGGGAGGACCCGGGGCCGUGUUCUGGAGCCCGCUGCUGCGGCUGCUCUGCUACCCUCGACAUCCAGAGAGCACGUGGCAGGAGGGUGCGCAAUACGCGCAGCUGGAAGAGAACACGAUUCGGCUAUUCGCCGAGCUGACCGUGUGCCACGCCGCCAACCAGAAGCUGUUCGCUUCUACGCUGCAUGGGAUACUGGAGUCUCUGCACUGUACUGGCCCCGAGGGCAUCUCCGGGUUCACGCGCGCGCUGAUCCUGCGGCUGGUGCUGUCGGGCGAGCGCGCCAGCGUGGCGCUGCGCUGGGCGGGCGCGGCGGGCGCGUGCGCCGCGCCCGCGCCGCGCCACCCCGCCGCCGUGUGCCACGCGCUGCUGGCGCUGCCGCUGCACACCACCGUGCGCUCGCUGCUUUGCGAACACCGCCCGCCGCUACCUCUCCUCGACGACACGGCUAAAGUGUGCGUGAACAACACGACGAACUCCGGCACGGCUUCAGUCCUUCGCAGUGCGUCUGAUACGGCCAUCAUGACGGUAGCGGAGGCCUGGGAGCUCAGCCUGGCCGCGGCCUCCGCCUCCAAGGAUAAGCGAGUGAAAGACGUCAAGAACACCUCGCUCAAACAACAGAACACCAAGAAACGACAGACCAAGACGAAUAACGAUGCGUCUAUGUUGUCUGUUACUGAUGAUCUGAUAGAAACCACGAUUCGCGUGCAAGUUCCUGGCCUGGAAGGUUUCAUCCCACCAGCAACGACGCUGGGGCAACUCGUGGCCGCGGUCCCGCACGUGUUUGGACCACACCUCACGCUCACGCUGCAUCUCAACACCAACGGAGACGUAUGGUCGGGCCCAACGUGGGAGCCGGCGGCCAGCAGCAGCGGCGGCAGCAGCAGCGGCGGCGCCAGCAGCGGCGGCGGCGUGAUCCUGCGCAGCUUCGGCGCAUGCGGCGGGCUGGCGCUGGUGGCGGCGCGCCUGCCGCGGCCCGCCGCGCCGCCCGCGCCGCCGCCGCUGCCCAAGCUGCACCACCACGACCUCGACUGGGUCAAGCUCGACGACCCCUACGAGGAGGUGGUAGAACUAGGCGUGUGUUCAGCUAACAAUAUGGAAGAGAGCGGGUGUUCCGGGGUGCCGGCGCAUGCGCUAGUAGCCCUAGGGCUCCUGCUCAAGCUGCCGGGAUAUGCCGACGCGUUGUUGGACGAGGGCGCGCGGGCCGUGCACCUGCUGCGGCUGUUGCUGGGAGUCACGCACGAUGAGGACGGACGGAGUAUCGUAGUAGGCGGCAGCGGAGCUAACGGCAACUGGUCACUAGGCACACUUCCGUUCCGAGUGGUGGCACAGCUACUAGAAGCGGCGCCACUGAGCAGCCCGGAAGGUAGACAGCUGCGACGGGCAUUGCUAGCACUGGGAGCGGUCCGGCUGGUACUCGCCUGCCUCGCCGUCUUCACGCACCACAGACCCGCUUCCAACGAUAACAGCCAAGCGUCCAACGGCUCUUCAGGCGGCAAGGGCGAGGAGAAAUCCCAGCUGUACUGGGCGAAGGGCACGGGCUUCGGCACCGGCUCCACGCAGCAGUCGUGGAACGUGGAGCAGGCGCUCGUACGGCAGCGGACUGAGGAGGAGCACGUCACUGUGUUGCUGCAGGUAUUAGCAUCGUAUAUGAAUCCCGGAGAGAAGUGGCCCCCGGAGGAAGGCACGCCGCAAGUGGAGCUGGACGAGUCGGAGGGCGACGACGAGGACAACGACCUCCCGUCAGAGUUCAUCGACCUGCUCGUCGGCAGCUCGCUCGUGCCCGCCAUAUGUUCCUAUCUUAGGAAUGAUUCUGUGCUGGACAUGUCCCGCCACAUCCCGCUGUACGUGUGCGCGCCGCCUGCGGCCCGCGCUGCGCCCGCUGCCCGCGCUGCUGCACCAGAUGUCGCGCACCACCAACUCCUACGCCACCAAGCUACGGAUGAGUAAAAAAAAUAUAUUUGGGAAAAUGACGUAUAGCCAAAGAUUUAGUACUUCAAGCAAUUCAGAACUGUCGGAAGAAGACGAGGGACUCGCCUCGCUCAUUGCCGAUAUUCAGGCGACGUCAGCGCUGUUGUGCCGGACGGAGG
rnacentral:misc_RNA from 1 species